GCCAGCGUGUUAUAGUGGUUUGAACACUUGACUGUGACUCUGGAGAUCAGGGUUUGAAUCCCUGCUCAGCA